UAAGCAUAUCAAUAAGCGGAGGAAAAGAAACCAACAGGGAUUGCCUUAGUAACGGCGAGUGAAGCGGCAAAAGCUCAGAUUUGAAAUCUUUUUGUGUAUGCAAGACGAAUUGUAAUCUGGAGAAGGUUGAAUGGCUGAAUAUUCUGAUUUAAAUUCCUUGGAAUAGGAUAUCAUAGAGGGUGAGAAUCCCGUGAGUAUCAGAGAAUAGGCCACUUAAUUCACCUUUCGACGAGUCGAGUUGUUUGGGAAUGCAGCUCUAAAUGGGUGGUAAAUUUCAUCUAAAGCUAAAUACCUGCCAGAGACCGAUAGCGAACAAGUAGAGUGAUCGAAAGAUGAAAAGCACUUUGAAAAGAGAGUUAAAAAGUACGUGAAAUUGUUGAAAGGGAAGCGCUUGCCAUUAGACUUGAUAUUUGAAUUCAAUCGGCUCUCGGGCUCGAUCUACUUUUCUUCUAUCAGGCCAGCAUCAGUUUGGUGGGGUUUAUAAAGUCAGUUGGAAUGUAGUUUGUCCUUCGGGGUAAAUGUUAUAGACUUCUGUGUCAUUAUACCCACACUAGACUGAGGUCUGCUCUUCGGAAAGGAUGCUGGCAUAAUGAUGGUAAGCGACCCGUCUUGAA
rnacentral:rRNA from 1 species